rnacentral:rRNA from 1 species
GACUCUCGGCAACGGAUAUCUCGGCUCUCGCAUCGAUGAAGAACGUAGCGAAAUGCGAUACCUGGUGUGAAUUGCAGAAUCCCGUGAACCAUCGAGUCUUUGAACGCAAGUUGCGCCCGAAGCCUUCUGGCCGAGGGCACGUCUGCCUGGGCGUCACGCA